CACGGGCUCAGCUUGGGUCUCUGUUGAUGACAGGUUGGGCAUUCAGCAGUGACAGUAGCUAGAUCAGCCUUGGGGAGAGGAAGCCAAGGCUGUUAGGGUUAUAUAUAACUUCGUCAUUGUCACCAUGGCACUCUGUUCAUGAGCCCAUAUGGUGCAAGGACUGGUUGGAGGAUGACGAGUGAGGACAGAGACUGGCUGACGUCCACUGGCCGAGUCAUCCUGCCCACUUGGUUGUUUGGUGUUGCUUCUGCAAUGGAUGCUCUUUGGGGCCUGAUUUGGAUAUAGGAGACCUCCCUUGAUGGAGAAUUCAGCCUUUACUCAAGUUCUGCUGCUUUUCCAAUGAGUCCUCUGCCUGAUUGUCACUCCAUCUGCCCUCUGGCUGCAGAAGGAGAAACUCCAGCCACCUCGGAGAGGCCCCAGGAGCAGGGGGCUUCUAGGCACCCAGCCCCCUACAGGCAGCACCCUGCAGCCUCCCCCACACCGCCGGCUCCUGCACACACAUGCCCCUCACUCUCCUGACACCCGGAUACAUCUGAGUGGAGAUCUCUGGGGUGCCGGCCCGGCCCUUCUUCCCUCUGUGGACAGUCCCUGUGGAGGAAAGGCCAUGACAGCCACAUUUGCUUUCCCCCUAAGGUGAGGCUGCGUGGAGGGAGGGCAGGGACUGGCUGCGGGGCUGUGUCAGAUGCAUGUUCCUAAAACUUCAAUCGGAGACACAUCAAGUGUUGUCAGUUUGUGUUGGUGCCGAGGCUGGAAGGAUGGUUAGAACCAUGGCCUGGGCAGGGGCUAUCGUGAGACAGUACCCCAUGUAAAGCAUGCUCACGGAGGAGGGAAAACCCAAGCUUCCCUAGGAGGGGAGGGGCAGGUGUACCGAGAGGUGGAGGCCAGGGAUGCUGAGAUGCCAGCAGGGAGCCAUGGGUGCAGUGAAUGCUCACUCUCCAUUGAAGCCACACUCCUGUGUGCUCUGAACAGCACCCUCUGUGGCUUAAUAUGAAUAGCUUCCUGCUACUUAAACCCAGCAUAAUCCACAAGGGACCAUCAAAGAUGGGACACUGUUGCACACUCUGAGUCACAUGCCACAGGGGCCCCUAGCACCCUGCAGCCACCUGGCCCUAUUCAGCCACCCCAACUCCCCCAACCAUCCGGCCACACACUGCACUUGCCCCACCAGGGACUGGUUCCAGGGACCCCCAUGGACAGGGGUUCUUCCAAUUCAACACCCAAACCACCUGCCUUUCUUUUUUGUGUGUGCAGAGGGUAACAGGGCGGGGGGUGUGGUUUAAAACAAAAGCAAAAACACCCAAACCACUCCUUAACAUCCACAAAAUAGCUAAUUCGCCAAACCUUUGUUUUUGUCAAUUUAUUUAGAAAAAAA
rnacentral:lncRNA from 1 species